CGAGCUGACCGAGUAAUCGCUGACAUAGUCAGAGGAAAGUCCGGGCUCCACAGGAUGAAACGCCAGGUAACGCCUGGGAAUAGCAAUGCUAUUACGGAAAGUGCAACAGAAAAUAUACCGCCGAAAGGUAAGGGUGAAAAGGUGUGGUAAGAGCGCACCGAAUAUUCGGAAACGAAUAUUGCUUUGCAAACCCCGUUUGGAGCAAGACUAAAUAGGGAUUCUAUAAUGUGAUCCGCAUUGAAUCCGGGUAAGUUGCUAGAGAUUUAUGGCGACAUAAAUUCAAGAUGAAUGAUUACAUAAAACAGAACCCGGCUUACGGGUCAGCUCCCUCA
rnacentral:RNase_P_RNA from 1 species